rnacentral:rRNA from 1 species
UACGGAGGAUGCGAGCGUUAUCCGGAUUUAUUGGGUUUAAAGGGUGCGUAGGUUAUUUUUUAAGUCAGCGGUGAAAGUUUGUGGCUCAACCAUAAAAUUGCCGUUGAAACUGGAAGACUUGAGUGUGUUUGAGGUAGGCGGAAUGCGUGGUGUAGCGGUGAAAUGCGUAGAUAUAUGGAAGAACACCAGUGGCGAAGGCGGCCGCCUGGCCUGUUACUGACGCUGAGGCACGAAAGCGUGGGGAGCAAAUAGG